GUAGAGAAGCGUGACUGAAUGUGAGCAUAAAGUGCCUCCUGAGUUCACUUACCCAGCUUAUUGCACAGGACGUGAAUAUUAACUCAUCUACUCAGUCAGAGCCAUAAACAGGAAAAACCUGGCAAGGGAGCCUCAGCCCUGUAUGCUUACUGCAUUAGGAACCAGGAGUAAAGGAAGGUUGGGCACGUCUGAGCCCGGAAAGUGGAAAGAGGAAGGAGUUAGUGGGAAUCAGUAUCUUUGUCCAUUGGUAACCACAUACAGUGACUGGUUGAUGUGGGUUAUAAACGCCUGGCUCACUUGGCUCAUUUGGAGCAACUCUGAAGAGCCAUCCAAGUUUAAAGCUCACCACGGGGUCUGCUGAAGCUUUUGCUCUGACUGCAUGAUGGCUCAACAUCACCUUUUGCCAGUCUUUCUGCUUUUACUCUCCAACAGGUGUUGAUCCUGAGAGCAUCCUUGAGAAUCCACCUCUGUGCAAACUUCAUGUCACAGUCUACUUCUCAGAGAAUGGGACCUAGGAAACCUCCUCCACAAAGUCCUCCCUCACCCAUUCCCAGUGGACGGAGUAGCUGCUCCCAUGUCCUGAUCCUGAUGGGCAGUCCUCUUGGAUGUAAGCCGUGUGCUGACAUCAUGCACCUGUGCAGAUUAGCCCUGAGCUAACUGCUGCCAAUCCUCCUCUUUUUGCUGAGGAAGACUGGCCCUGAGCUGACAUCCAUGCCCAUCUUCCUCUACUUUCUAUGUGGGACGCCUACCACAGCAUGGUGUGCCAAGUGGUGCCAUGUCCGCACCCGGGAUCCGAACCCGCGAACCCUGGGCCACCGAAGUGGAACAUGCGCACUUAACCGCUGCACCACCAGGCCGGCCCCCAAUUUCAUUGUUGACUUGCUUUGUUCUGGUGACUAUUGCAAUUAAACAUAUUCUUAUGUUUAUUGCCAAUUGACAUUUUUUCUUUCAUGAAUUGCAAAUUCAUAUUCUUUUGUCUUUCCAUUGAUUUGUUUUUUUCCUGAUCAGUUUGGAAGAGUUAUUUGUAUAUCAUGGAAUGUUAAUUAUUUCUCUAUUAAAUAUGUUGCAAAUUUUCUCUAGCCUAAUAUAUGUGCAUAUGACUUUUUGUUAUUUGUUCUAAAUACACACAUUUUCUUUAUAUAU
rnacentral:lncRNA from 1 species